rnacentral:misc_RNA from 1 species
AAGUCGUAACAAGGUUUCCGUAGGUGAACCUGCGGAAGGAUCAUUAACACGUAUCCACGUAUCAACCCCUUGUGCUUUUUACGUUUUUGGUGCAACCUGUCUUGAGCGUGAACCCAGAGGUUUGGCAGAGAUUGAAUGGCUGUACUUUCCUUCGGGAAGGAACAGUUCUCUGCGAGGCUGUUGUUUUUCGAUUUCUGGCCUUCGGGCUGGGAUUUGGAGGCAUCGGGAUCACGUUCUACCGUACAGGCAAUACAUGUUAACCAUUCGACAUGGCCCCUAUAUACUAUUAACCCCUUUGUAACUUAUCUUGCUAAACGAAAUUUGAACAGGACGAAAUGACGCUAACUCGUUAGCGGAAUUCGAACUUUCAAUAUUACGAAAUGCUUGACAACUCUUAGCAACGGAUAUCUUGGUUCUC